rnacentral:lncRNA from 1 species
CUGGGAACAGAGGUGCAUAGGACAUUUGAUCCCAUUGCAGUCACCACCACUGAGCUAAAGAAAAGCUUUUCCAUGUUGGAGCAAAUGUUCUAGACAUGAGGCUUUGAUCUGAUAAUCUGAAUCCUUGACAGUGAAAGAACUUGAGAUAAAUAUGUUCUUUAAUUCUUGUUUUGAUUAAUAAACACAGAAGAUCUGAAUUGUGCUCUUCGGUGUGUAAAGCAAAGAGAGCCAAGUCGAUCGACUGUUUUGUUCUGGCAGGUGAGAAUCUAACUGCUUUUCCUUCCCUUGAGUGAAUCAACCACCAAAUGCAAUUACAAAAUGAUAGGGGGAAUGAGGAUGGGACUGAAAAGGUCGUGCUUCCUUUUUCUUAGCCAUCAGCAUCCUAUGUGGAGUCCCUUCCACCUCCCCACCCCACGAGACUCUGGUAAGCUAGAGGGAGGUGAUAGGCUGCCUCUACCACCUCCACAUCAAGCCCCCGAUAAGAGGCCAGAAGCAGGAUUUAAAAGGCCAGUUGUUUUCCUUCCAGGUUACAUCAGGACUCCCCACCUCCCUGGUCCUUAUUCUAGGCCAUGGUUUUUUGCUUCUUGUUCCCACACUUCCCUCCUUUCAGCCCCAUGGACGCUGGAGGCUUUGGGGGCUUCCUAAACUUUGGCUCGUCUUGUCCCCACCCCACUCCAGAGCUCUCCCACAGGGCCAACCCCAUUUCUUUGGGCUUUUGUAGCUUCCUUCCUUCCCCUCUUUCCUAUUAGUUCCUUCCCCAGGCCCUGCAUAUAUCAGAGAUUUCUACAUAUUUUUCUGUUGCUAGUGGAGGGAGGAAAAAGGGAAUCUUGCUUCAAGUGGAAGCAGGAAAGACCCAGUUCCUCCUUUCACUCACCUUAGACAGGAGCCUCAGCCACCAGAGCCCACAGGGAUAUGCAUGCCCUGCAUUCACAGAAUUGACCUGGGGACCUCAUGCGGUAAUAUGGGAAACAUGAAGAGCUAGACAAGUGCAAAGAACCAUCAGACAGUAAAUUCUGUUGCUGCAUCCUACAGACCCACCUCCUUAUCUGCCCCAGAUGAUUGUCAGUUCCUCUCAGAACACCUGUGGCCAGAGUCACCCCAAAUGGCGCUUCACAGGGACAGCUUACUGGGCACCUACUCUCAAGCUGGAAGUUAAGCUCAAGCUCUGGACACCACUGUGGGACACACUGGCUAUGGAGUCAAAGUCUCGAGUUGAACUGAGCAAGUAGACUGGCUCCUCUGAGCCUGUUUUCUCAUCUAAGAAAUGAAGCUAAGAAGCCCUGCUUUGCAGGUUGUGAUUAA